CUACGGGACGCUGCAGUGAGGAAUAUUGCACAAUGGGGGAAACCCUGAUGCAGCAACGCCGCGUGGAGGAUGACGCAUUUCGGUGUGUAAACUCCUUUUAUGAGUCAAGAAAAUGACGGUAGCUCAUGAAUAAGCACCGGCUAACUCCGUGCCAGCAGCCGCGGUAAUACGGAGGGUGCAAGCGUUACUCGGAAUCACUGGGCGUAAAGGACGCGUAGGCGGGAUGUCAAGUCAGGUGUGAAAUCCUAUGGCUCAACCAUAGAACUGCACUUGAAACUGGCAACCUGGAGUAUGGGAGGGGGAGAUGGAAUUAGUGGUGUAGGGGUGAAAUCCGUAGAUAUCACUAGGAAUACCGAAAGCGAAGGCGAUCUCCUGGAACAUUACUGACGCUAAGGCGUGAAAGCGUGGGGAGCAAACAGGAUUAGAUACCCCAGUAGUC
rnacentral:rRNA from 1 species